rnacentral:rRNA from 1 species
AUGGCCACGCGCGACCGCGCUGCCCGCUCGGCGACGGCCCGCCUCAAGGAGAACGACACCCAGUCCCAGUCGCAGUAUGGCAAGCGCCAGCGCACGGCCGCGGGCCCGGCGCCGCGCCCGCCGCUCUCCACGGCCGCCCAGAACGCCGCCGCGCCUCCCCCCGCGGAGGCCCCCAUCGAGUUCGCCGGGAGGGAGGACGUCGACGCCCUCCUCAACGAGAAGAUUAAGGGCAAGAACAAGAUGGAUUACAAGGGAAAGAGUGAGCAGAUGAUUGAGUACAUCAAGAAGCUGCGUGCUUGUAUCAAAUGGUUGCUCGAGAGGGAGGACGCAAACCUCGCUGAAAUCGGAAAACUCAAUGGCCUAAUCGAUGCUGCAGACAAACAUCAUGCUGAAAUUGUGUCUCAGUUGGAGUGCAAAAUCCAAGAAUCCGUGGCAAUGAAAGAGGAGCUUCAGAAACAAUAUGCCUCUUUAGGAGAGAGCCUAAAGAAAGUGGAAGCUGAACAAAUGGAGUGCCUUCGAUCUUAUGGAGAUGAAAAGGAGGCUAGGAUUGCUGCAGAAUCUUCAAGGAACGAGCUUUCAGAAGAACUCAACAGAGUUAAGUUGGACCAGAAGCGUCUUAAUGAUCAGAUCAAGAUGCUUCAAGAUACAAAUAAGAGGCUUCAGGAAUACAACACUAGCUUGCAGCAAUAUAAUUGCAACCUCCAAGCUGAUGCAACAAAGAAUGCUGAAACAAUAGACAAGCUGCAAAAAGAGAAGAAUACUAUGGUUGAAACAAUGAAUGGUUUGAAAGAUCAUUCUAACUCAGUAAAGUUGCAGCUUGAUAUGGCAAAGUCUUCACAGAGUGAAGCUUUGAAACAAAAAAAUAACUUAUUGAAUGAGGUUGAAGCUCUCAGAGCUGAAUUACACCAAGAACUGACAGGAAAGUCUUCGUCAGAAUUAGAGAAUGUCAUGAUACGAUGUGAUGCACUUGAGGAAACUUGUUCAAACCAAACUGAGAAGAUUAAAACACUGCAAAUUCAACUUGCAUCGGCUAAUGAAAAGUUGAAGAGAUCUAAUUUGACAACUAUGGAGACAAUGAGUGAGUAUGAAAGCCAAAAGAGAAUGCUGGAGGACCUACAAUUACGUCUUACAGAAGCUGAGCAAAAAAUUGUGGAUGGGGAGAAGUUGCGGAAAAAACUACAUAACACCAUACUCGAGCUUAAAGGAAAUAUUCGUGUUUUCUGCCGAGUCCGACCUUUAUUGUCAAAUGAAUCUGGAGCUGUUUCUUAUCCAAAUAAUGGAGAAAAUAUAGGUCGUGGUGUCGAGUUGAUACAUAACACACAAUCGUAUUCAUUUGCGUUUGACAAAGUGUUUGAUCACUCGGCAUCCCAGGAAGAUGUGUUUACUGAAAUUUCUCAGUUGGUUCAAAGUGCACUUGAUGGUUAUAAGGUAUGCAUAUUUGCUUAUGGGCAAACUGGUUCCGGCAAGACACACACUAUGAUGGGAAAUCCUGAGUUCAAUGAUCAAAAAGGGUUAAUACCUAGAUCGCUUGAACAAAUUUUUCAAACUAGUCAAUGCCUUAUGUCACAAGGUUGGAAAUAUAAGAUGCAGGCUUCAAUGCUAGAAAUAUACAAUGAGACCAUACGUGACUUGUUAGCGACAAGUCGCACAUCUAUCCAAGAUGGUGCCGCUUCAAAAUAUAAUAUCAAACAUGAUGUGAAUGGUAAUACCCAGGUGUCUGACCUCACAAUCGUUGAUGUACGGAGUAUCAACGAAGUUUCUUCUCUGCUCAAACGAGCUGCACAAAGCAGAUCAGUAGGAAAAACACAAAUGAAUGAAGAAUCAUCUAGAAGUCACUGUGUUUUCACACUACGGAUUUUUGGUGUAAAUGAGGGAACAGAUCAACAAGUGCAAGGUGUUCUCAAUUUAAUUGAUCUUGCAGGCAGUGAACGGCUUAACAAAAGUGGUGCCACUGGGGAUAGACUCAAGGAAACCCAGGCUAUUAACAAGAGCUUGUCGUGCUUGAGUGAUGUUAUCUUCUCCAUUGCUAAGAAAGAGGAACACAUUCCAUUCAGGAACUCCAAACUGACGUAUCUACUCCAGCCAUGCUUGGGUGGAGACUCUAAAACGCUAAUGUUUGUGAACUUGUCCCCGGAAGUGUCUUCUACAAGCGAGUCUAUUUGCUCUCUUCGUUUUGCUGCUCGGGUGAACUCUUGUGAGAUCGGCGUCCCUCGUCGUCAGACUCAAAUGCGCAGCUUGUCACAAGGAUGA